CGUAGGUGAACCUGCGGAGGGAUCAUUGCUGGAACGCGCCCCAGGCGCACCCAGAAACCCUUUGUGAACUUAUACCUUUUGUUGCCUCGGCGCAUGCUGGCCUCUAGUAGGCCCCUCACCCCGGUGAGGAGCAGGCACGCCGGCGGCCAAGUUAACUCUUGUUUUUACACUGAAACUCUGAGAAAAAACACAAAUGAAUCAAAACUUUCAACAACGGAUCUCUUGGUUCUGGCAUCGAUGAAGAACGCAGCGAAAUGCGAUAAGUAAUGUGAAUUGCAGAAUUCAGUGAAUCAUCGAAUCUUUGAACGCACAUUGCGCCCUCUGGUAUUCCGGAGGGCAUGCCUGUUCGAGCGUCAUUUCAACCCUCAAGCAUUGCUUGGUGUUGGGGCACUGCUUUUAACGAAGCAGGCCCUGAAAUCUAGUGGCGAGCUCGCCAGGACCCCGAGCGCAGUAGUUAAACCCUCGCUCUGGAAGGCCCUGGCGGUGCCCUGCCGUUAAACCCCCAACUUCUGAAAAUUUGACCUCGGAUCAGGUAGGAAUACCCGCUGAACUUAAGCAUAUCAAUAAGCGGAGGAA
rnacentral:rRNA from 1 species